UGUUUCGGCUAGGGGGCCAUCCCGGCUUACCAACCCGAUGCAAACUGCGAAUACCGGAGAAUGUUAUCACGGGAGACACACGGCGGGUGCUAACGUCCGUCGUGAAGAGGGAAACAACCCAGACCGCCAGCUAAGGUCCCAAAGUCAUGGUUAAGUGGGAAACGAUGUGGGAAGGCCCAGACAGCCAGGAUGUUGGCUUAGAAGCAGCCAUCAUUUAAAGAAAGCGUAAUAGCUCACUGGUCGAGUCGGCCUGCGCGGAAGAUGUAACGGGGCUAAACCAUGCACCGAAGCUGCGGCAGCGAACGUAUCACUUAAAGCGAUUCAGCGGGUUACGAUUGACGGAGCGAAGCGACGUCAAAGCGUAUACAAAGUCGAGUCGGUUUAAGGAUACGUUCGUUGGGUAGGGGAGCGUUCUGUAAGCCUGUGAAGGUGUGUCGUGAGGCAUGCUGGAGGUAUCAGAAGUGCGAAUGCUGACAUAAGUAACGAUAAAGCGGGUGAAAAGCCCGCUCGCCGGAAGACCAAGGGUUCCUGUCCAACGUUAAUCGGGGCAGGGUGAGUCGACCCCUAAGGCGAGGCCGAAAGGCGUAGUCGAUGGGAAACGGGUUAAUAUUCCCGUACUUGGUGUUACUGCGAAGGGGGGACGGAGAAGGCUAUGUUGGCCGGGCGACGGUUGUCCCGGUUUAAGCGUGUAGGUGUGUGUUCCAGGUAAAUCCGGUU
rnacentral:rRNA from 1 species